rnacentral:rRNA from 1 species
GACGAACGCUGGCGGCGUGCUUAACACAUGCAAGUCGAACGGAAAGGCCCUGCGUUUGUGGGGUGCUCGAGUGGCGAACGGGUGAGUAACACGUGAGUAACCUGCCCUUGACUUUGGGAUAACUCCAGGAAACUGGGGCUAAUACCGGAUAGGAGCUCCUGCUGCAUGGGGGGGGUUGGAAAGUUUCGGCGGUUGGGGAUGGACUCGCGGCUUAUCAGCUUGUUGGUGGGGUAGUGGAUGACCAAGGCUACGACGGGUAGCCGGCCUGAGAGGGUGACCGGCCACCUUGGGACUGCGAUACGGCCCAGACUCCUACGGGAGGCAGCAGUGGGGAAUAUUGCACAAUGGGCGGAAGCCUGAUGCAGCAGCGCCGCGUGCGGGAUGACGGCCUUCGGGUUGUAAACCGCUUUCGCCUGUGACGAAGCGUGAGUGACGGUAAUGGGUAAAGAAGCACCGGCUAACUACGUG